rnacentral:lncRNA from 1 species
UGGCAUUCUGUUCCCGUUUUGUGGUUAGGAGUCGGAUAUAAGUCCAUUUAUUGGCAUUCUGUUUCCAUUUUGUUGUUAGGAGUCGGAUAUAAGUCCAUUUAUUGGCAUUCUGUUUCCAUUUUGUUGUUAGGAGUCGGGUGUAAGUCCAUUUAUUGGCAUUCUGUUUCCGUUUUGUGGUUAGGAGUCGGAUUUAAGUCCAUUUAUUGGCAUUCUGUUUCCAUUUUGUUGUU